rnacentral:rRNA from 1 species
UACGAAGGGGGCUAGCGUUGCUCGGAAUCACUGGGCGUAAAGGGUGCGUAGGCGGGUCUUUAAGUCAGGGGUGAAAUCCUGGAGCUCAACUCCAGAACUGCCUUUGAUACUGAAGAUCUUGAGUUCGGGAGAGGUGAGUGGAACUGCGAGUGUAGAGGUGAAAUUCGUAGAUAUUCGCAAGAACACCAGUGGCGAAGGCGGCUCUUUGGCCUGUAACUGACGCUGAGGCGCGAAAGCGUGGGGAGCAAACAGG